GGGCGAGCCAGGCAGCGCAGGAUUGAAAAUCCCCGUGUCGGCGGUUCGAUUCCGUCCUCGGCCACCA
rnacentral:tRNA from 1 species